UACAGAGGUCUCAAGCGUUGUUCGGAUUGUACAUUGGGCGUAAAGGGUGCGUAGGUGGCAUGGAUAAGUCCGGGAUACGUGAAAUCCCGGGGCUUUAACCCCGGAACUGCAUUCGAUACUGCCAGGCUAGAGUACUGGAGAGGAGAAUUGGAAUUUACGGUGUAGCAGUGAAAUGCGUAGAUAUCGUAAGGAAGACCAGUGGCGAAGGCGGAUCUCUGGACAGAUUAC
rnacentral:rRNA from 1 species